rnacentral:lncRNA from 1 species
GCUACAAACUGGUUCUGGUGACCUAAACUGAAAUAGUGGUUCUCUCGUACUUUUUGCGUGUUUGUCCGUGGCGUGUUUACGUUCUUCGUUCGGCGGUUGUUUGUAAACGAGCGCUGGAUGGAAGAUGGGAGGUCGGUCUUGCCGCUGACUUUGGUGGAGCGUCCCCUGCGUGGACUCGCCCUGUCGUCCUGUCGGCACAGUCCAGCGGCGUUCUCCGGGACGAUGCCGAGCCCGGCGCGCGCCAGCUGAUACAUGAGGACCCGCCAGAGUAACCGGGCGCGCGCCAGCAAGCCGCGCGCGUCGCCGGC